GUGGGUAUAGCUCAAUGGUAGAGCGUGUGCGUAGCAUGGCCUGGGUUCAAUCCCCAGUCCCUCCA
rnacentral:tRNA from 1 species